CAGAAAAUAGUUUAUUUAAAAUAUUAAUUUUGGAGAUUAAUGAUAUGGAAGUUUCCUUUUUUCUGA
rnacentral:tRNA from 1 species